rnacentral:rRNA from 1 species
GAACGCUGGCGGCAGGCUUAACACAUGCAAGUCGAGCGGAAACGAAGGUAGCUUGCUACCAGACGUCGAGCGGCGGACGGGUGAGUAAUGCUUAGGAAUCUACCGAGUAGUGGGGGAUAGCCAUUGGAAACGAUGAUUAAUACCGCAUAUAUCCUACGGGGGAAAGCAGGGGACCUUCGGGCCUUGCGCUAUUCGAUGAGCCUGAGUGAGAUUAGCUAGUUGGUGGGGUAAAGGCCUACCAAGGCGACGAUCUCUAGCUGGUCUGAGAGGAUGAUCAGCCACACUGGGACUGAGACACGGCCCAGACUCCUACGGGAGGCAGCAGUGGGGAAUAUUGCACAAUGGACGAAAGUCUGAUGCAGCCAUGCCGCGUGUGUGAAGAAGGCCUUCGGGUUGUAAAGCACUUUCAGCGAGGAGGAAAGGUCAGUAAGUAAUAUUUGCUGGCUGUGACGUUACUCGCAGAAGAAGCACCGGCUAAUUUAGUGCCAGCAGCCGCGGUAAUACUAAAGGUGCAAGCGUUAAUCGGAAUUACUGGGCGUAAAGCGCGCGUAGGUGGUUUGUUAAGUUGGAUGUGAAAGCCCAGGGCUCAACCUUGGAACUGCAUUCAAAACUGACUCACUAGAGUACGAGAGAGGUUAGUGGAAUUUCCUGUGUAGCGGUGAAAUGCGUAGAGAUGGGAAGGAACACCAGUGGCGAAGCGACUGACUGGCUCGAUACUG